rnacentral:lncRNA from 1 species
CUCCCCUGGGGCUGAGGCUGAGUACAGACCUGCCGGCCUUGCCCUAUAGCACGCGAGGGCUCUGCCAGUGUGCUCCCAUCUCCUGCUUCCUGGGGAUGGUGGUGACUUCCUCCAGAGAAGGGUGUAUUUGUUCUCCUCCUGCCCCUGCAGGGCAUUGUGGAGCCCUGGCCAAGUUCUCCCAGGAUCCCAAGAUGGAAGCCGGCAGCCACGCGGGCAUGUCACUUGCGCCAGCUUUGUCCUGCAGUUUCUGCUUCCUGGAGCGUGGGACGCCCACCCAGGAGAGCACGGGCAGACCCCACACCUCUCAUUUUGAGGGUGCUGGGAGGUGGGGGACCAAGGUCCUGCAGCCCUGUGCUUGUGCCGUGAAAAUUAGCCUAGGAGUCCCAUGUCCACCUGUCUACGUGGAGCCCCAGGAGCGUGA